GACGAACGCUGGCGGCGUGCUUAACACAUGCAAGUCGUACGGUAAGGCCCUUUCGGGGGUACACGAGUGGCGAACGGGUGAGUAACACGUGAGUAACCUGCCCACAACUUUGGGAUAACGCUAGGAAACUGGUGCUAAUACUGGAUAUGUGCCCCUGCUGCAUGGUGGGGGUUGGAAAGCUCCGGCGGUUGUGGAUGGACUCGCGGCCUAUCAGCUUGUUGGUGGGGUAGUGGCCUACCAAGGCGGCGACGGGUAGCCGGCCUGAGAGGGUGACCGGCCACAUUGGGACUGAGAUACGGCCCAGACGCCUACGGGAGGCAGCAGUGGGGAAUAUUGCACAAUGGGCGCAAGCCUGAUGCAGCAACGCCGCGUGCGGGAUGACGGCCUUCGGGUUGUAAACCGCUUUCAGCAGGGACGAAGCUUUUUGUGACGGUACCUGCAGAAGAAGCACCGGCUAACUACGUG
rnacentral:rRNA from 1 species